rnacentral:rRNA from 1 species
AUACGUAGGGGGCGAGCGUUGUCCGGAAUUACUGGGCGUAAAGGGUGCGUAGGUGGCACUUUAAGUUGGAUGUGAAAUCCCCGUGCUUAACAUGGGAGCUGCAUCCAAUACUGGAGAGCUAGAGUGCAGGAGAGGUAAGCGGAAUUCCUAGUGUAGCGGUGAAAUGCGUAGAUAUUAGGAGGAACACCAGUGGCGAAGGCGGCCUGCUGGACGACAACGGACGCUGAGGCGCGAAAGCGUGGGGAGCAAACAGGAUUAGAUACCCUGGUAGUCCACGCCGUAAACGAUGGAUACUAGGUGUGGGGGGACUGACCCCCUCCGUGCCGCAGUCAACACAAUAAGUAUCCCACCUGGGGAGUACGAUCGCAAGAUUGAAACUCAAAUGAAUUGACGGGG